GCGCCGGUAGCUCAGUGGAUAGAGCGUUGGCCUCCGGAGCCAAAGGCCGCAGGUUCGAAUCCUGUCCGGCGCGCCA
rnacentral:tRNA from 1 species